rnacentral:rRNA from 1 species
GGGUGAGUAACACGUGGAUAACCUACAUAUAAGACUGGGAUAACUUCGGGAAACCGGAGCUAAUACCGGAUAAUAUUUUGAACCGCAUGGUUCAAAAGUGAAAGACGGUCUUGCUGUCACUUAUAGAUGGAUCCGCGCUGCAUUAGCUAGUUGGUAAGGUAACGGCUUACCAAGGCAACGAUGCAUAGCCGACCUGAGAGGGUGAUCGGCCACACUGGAACUGAGACACGGUCCAG